CUGAAGUGUACCAGCCAGCAAAAAAGAGAAUGCAGCUGCCACCGCCACCAAAAAGUGUCAUUGAAGUUCCAACACCUCCUUCAGCAGAAGGAUCUCAAGGUUCCUCAUGCAGUAGCCAGGAUACACCAUCUCCAGUGCACCGAUCCCAAGGUCGCUCAUGCAGCAGUAAGGAUGUGCCAUCCAUAGAUCACUUGCAAAGCCCUCGCGCCCGGUCACCAUACACGAGUCAUGGAAGCAGCCAGGAAGCUCGGUCUCCA